ensembl:lncRNA
GUGGUAGGCUGGGCAUAAAUUAAGAAUGCCUUCUACUCCUCUUUCCUCUCUGGACUUGAAAAGAUUUACUCAGACCUUUGCUCAAUAGGCCAGUCACAGCUAUUAUUCUCUGAGUUUUAUUGUCAUACCCUCCCGCUCCUCCACAGCUUCGAUCCCAUGUCUGAAACCCUGGGUGUCCAUCUAUCCUGGAAGCCUUUUCCCUGCUCCAAUCCUACAAUGUUCAACACUGAAGAUGGUUUAGCUUUUAGGUACUUCAGCUUUCCCUAGCAAGAUCCUCGUUUGUACAGAGUUUGCUAUCUCCGUUAUUACUGUCAUCAGCUUGAGGUAAUCCUGUAUAUUUGUCAAUAUUUACAAUUUCAUUUAGAAAUCAAUUUGCGAUGACAAAGAGACUGUUUGAGAGGCAAAGAUGUAGACCCAGAGGAGUAUUUGAGGAUAUUUAUAGUUUCACAUUAUGCCUUUAAAUCUUCACACAAGGGAUUUGACAUUGACUGCUGAUAACCAGGACCCCACUAGAACUCGAAGGAAACUUCCAGUAUUUUACCAAACUCUCAUUUUAUAACUAAGCCUCAGAGAAUGGAAAGAGCAAUUCCAAAUCACUAAACAAAUUAGGAGCAAUUCGGGCCUAAAUUCCAGACCUGCAUUCUGCCUCAUACAACCACACACAUAAAAGGAGUUGGUGCUGACAAGACUCACUCUUUUAAAACUUGCCCACCUGGAGGAACUCUGAUGAGGAGCCAAUUAACUCAUCCCCAAACCAGCUCAGUCACCCGUCCCAUGCAAUGAUAGGGGUAGACAGACAGAACCUGAAGCCUACACUGAGCACAUCUGAGAUUAAAUCACUGUUCACUGGGUUUAAAUAGGGAUGACAGCAUGGUUAUUCGCUAAUCCUGCAAACUGCUGUUUCAAAAGCAAUGUUCAAGGGUGAAUCAUUAAAAUAAAAACAUAACCAAUUCACAUAUCACCUAACAGGAACUGAAGGGAGAAGAACAACCCAACUAACUUGUUUAGGCUUUUAAUACCCCAAACCAGCCUGCAAGCCUGAGCCUGAAACCUCAGCCCUGCCCAACUCCACCUGAUUAAGCUCUGUCUCCAGAACAUCUUUAGGGAGGCGCUGGUCUUAGGCAAACCUGAUAACACUUUUCAUUGCCUCCUGGCUUCUGGAUCCCAGAAGCUGGGCACGUGGAGGUUAGUGAGAAAGCAAGUUUACAAAAAGGCAGUUGAGUAAUGUAGGUAAAAAAGUUUUAUUUUUCCAACUGAGUAAUACAAUUUGGUUUGGAAUCAAGCCUAGCUUAUAGAGGGGAUAUUAAAACCCAACUCAGUUCCAGUUAUAGAGAAAAAACUAACCAAACCUUCUAGUCAUUUCUGAGAAUUCAGAAUUACAUGGCCUGACCUGAAAAAUUCCAACUACUUUAGACUCUAGUGGAAUUCUUUAUGUGACCCUCAAAUGAAGCUGCUAAUAAUGAGCUUAGGAGCUAAACUGUGCCUUGCAUCUAUUUGAUCUCUAUCCAGAGGAAUCUUUUGAAAAUCCAAAUUACAUCACAUAAUUCUCUUGCUUAAGAUACUUCAAUGUUUCCUCUCUGCUUCAAGAUAAAAAUCUAUAGCCAUUAGAAUUUUAUAACUUGGAAA